UCCGGCGUAAAAAGGGCCGCCGAGGACCCUAAAUGGUUUUCAGUGGAACUUUUGAGUAAAACAAACAAAUAAAUCAAAACUUUCAACAACGGAUCUCUUGGUUCUGGCAUCGAUGAAGAACGCAGCAAAAUGCGAUAAGUAAUGUGAAUUGCAGAAUUCAGUGAAUCAUCGAAUCUUUGAACGCACAUUGCGCCCGCCAGUAUUCUGGCGGGCAUGCCUGUUCGAGCGUCAUUUCAACCCUCAAGCUCAGCUUGGUGUUGGGACUCGCGGUAACCCGCGUUCCCCAAAUCGAUUGGCGGUCACGUCGAGCUUCCAUAGCGUAGUAAUCAUACACCUCGUUACUGGUAAUCGUCGCGGCCACGCCGUAAAACCCCAACUUCUGAAUGCAGACCUCGGAUCGGUCCGCCGGUCCGCCACGCAGUCGA
rnacentral:rRNA from 1 species